GUCAAUGUUCAUUUAGUUUUAAUCUUCAUAAAAACAUUUCAAAUGCAAACAUUGUGGCCAAAUGUCUAUCAUAAUAUAAAAGCAUUAGUUGUCACAAUAGACUUCCUUCCAUCACAGUUACAAGCCGAUACUGUCAUUUUGUUAUCAGACACUCAAUGUUUAGCAGAUAAACAUAUUGGCUUCAUUUUAAACAAUUGUUUUAUAGGACAUCAAAAAUAGGCCAAGUACCAAGCUGAAGCAAAAUAAAAAGAAAGAACAACUGGGACUACCUAGUCUUUGAUAGACUGGACUACCCAGUCUUUGAUAGACACUGGACUAC